AGUGGGUUUUCUUUAUGGAGACGAAGAUUAUAUGUACUUUUGAGUUUGUMUCCUGGCUCAGGAUGAACGCUGGCGGUAUGCUUAACACAUGCAAGUCGAACGGAAUGCUCUAGGCAUUUAGUGGCGGACGGGUGAGUAACGCGUGAGAAUUUGGCUUCAGGUCGGGGACAACAGUUGGAAACGACUGCUAAUACCGGAUGUGCCGGAAGGUGAAAGAUUUAUCGCCUGAAGAUAAGCUCGCGUCUGAUUAGCUAGUUGGUAGUGUAAGGGACUACCAAGGCGACGAUCAGUAGCUGGUCUGAGAGGAUGAUCAGCCACACUGGGACUGAGACACGGCCCAGACUCCUACGGGAGGCAGCAGUGGGGAAUUUUCCGCAAUGGGCGAAAGCCUGACGGAGCAAUACCGCGUGAGGGAGGAAGGCUCUUGGGUCGUAAACCUCUUUUCUCAAGGAAGAAUGCAAUGACGGUACUUGAGGAAUAAGCAUCGGCUAACUCCGUGCCAGCAGCCGCGGUAAUACGGAGGAUGCAAGCGUUAUCCGGAAUGAUUGGGCGUAAAGGGUCUGUAGGUGGUACUGAAAGUCUGCUGUUAAAGAGCAAGGCUCAACCUUGUAAGAGCAGUGGAAACUACAGAACUAGAGUGCGGUAGGGGCAAAAGGAAUUCCUGGUGUAGCGGUGAAAUGCGUAGAUAUCAGGAAGAACACCGGUGGCGAAAGCGUUUUGCUAGACCGCAACUGACACUGAGGGACGAAAGCUAGGGGAGCGAAUGGGAUUAGAUACCCCAGUAGUCCUAGCCGUAAACGAUGGAUACUAGGCGUGGCUUGUAUCGACCCGAGCCGAGKACGKAAAAAAUCCAUCGUCG
rnacentral:rRNA from 1 species